GCAGACACAUUCCAGCCAAUCAGCAGCAGACCCUCCCUCCCAGACCUUCCCACCUCCUGGACAGCAUCCAUUUUGAAGCUGCAUUCUUAGUGAGCUGUCCAGGAGGUGGGAGGGUCUGGGAGGGAGUGUCUGCUGCUGAUUGGCUGGAAUGUGUCUG